rnacentral:misc_RNA from 1 species
AAGAGGACCUCUGUCCGCUUGUCCUGGUGUGGGUUGCCUUCCGUGCUUACAAGUGGGUUGGUUGUGUAUAAAUAAAUGUGAAAUCGACUCUUUUUGUGGUAGAUCCGUGGUCGCCUUGAAGAAGGCAUCUUUAUUCUGCAUCUAGAGUUUGGCUUUGGAUGGUUUUUCUUGGGUAUCCAGCUAUGCAUGGACUCCCUAGACUCUCAUUGGUUUGGUCAUAGUUCCAUCUACAUGCAAGGGAGGCUUAUUGGUGCUGUUUCUUGGUCUCCUUGCUUCAUCAAGCCAUGGAGUGGGUUUUUUUCGGUUGUGUAGUAUUCUCUUGGUGACACUACGAUUACCACAUUUAGGUAUCCAGUGGCUCAAUGGCCUUAGGAGCUAAAGAGCUCCACUACAUGCUCAUUUUUUCCUCUCUUUUGUUUGAUCUUGAUCUCCUCCAAGUGCUGCUUAUGUGCUUGCCUUGUUGUGCUUGGCUCUCUUAGUUUUGUCUUCUGCCAAUGGUU